AACGAACGCUGGCGGCAGGCUUAACACAUGCAAGUCGAGCGCCUCGCCAGAGGAGCGGCAGACGGGUGAGUAACGCGUGGGAACGUACCCUUAUCUUCGGAAUAGCUCUGGGAAACUGGAAGUAAUACCGAAUGUGCCCUUAGGGGGAAAGAUUUAUCGGAUAAGGAUCGGCCCGCGUUGGAUUAGCUAGUUGGUGGGGUAAAGGCCUACCAAGGCGACGAUCCAUAGCUGGUCUGAGAGGAUGAUCAGCCACAUUGGGACUGGGACACGGCCCAAACUCCUACGGGAGGCAGCAGUGGGGAAUAUUGGACAAUGGGCGCAAGCCUGAUCCAGCCAUGCCGCGUGAGUGAUGAAGGCCUUAGGGUUGUAAAGCUCUUUCACCGGAGAAGAUAAUGACGGUAUCCGGAGAAGAAGCCCCGGCUAACUUCGUG
rnacentral:rRNA from 1 species